UACAGAGGUCUCGAGCGUUGUUCGGAUUCAUUGGGCGUAAAGGGUGCGUAGGUGGCGCUGUAAGUCGGGUGUGAAAUCCUGAGGCUUAACCUCGGAACUGCAUUCGAUACUGCGGCGCUUGAGGACUGGAGAGGAGACUGGAAUUCAUGGUGUAGCAGUGAAGUGCGUAGAGAUCAUGAGGAAGACCAGUGGCGAAGGCGGGUCUCUGGACAGUUCCUGACACUGAGGCACGAAGGCCGGGGGAGCAAACGGG
rnacentral:rRNA from 1 species